rnacentral:rRNA from 1 species
CGAACGCUGGCGGCGUGCUUCACACAUGCAAGUCGAGCGGAAAGGCCCUGCUUUUGUGGGGUGCCCGAGUGGCGAACGGGUGAGUAACACGUGAGUAACCUGCCCUUGACUUUGGGAUAACUUCAGGAAACUGGGGCUAAUACCGGAUAGGAGCUCCUGCUGCAUUGUGGGGGUUGGAAAGUUUCGGCGGUUGGGGAUGGACUCGCGGCUUAUCAGCUUGUUGGUGGGGUAGUGGCUUACCAAGGCUUUGACGGGUAGCCGGCCUGAGAGGGUGACCGGCCACAUUGGGACUGAGAUACGGCCCAGACUCCUACGGGAGGCAGCAGUGGGGAAUAUUGCACAAUGGGCGGAAGCCUGAUGCAGCAACGCCGCGUGCGGGAUGACGGCCUUCGGGUUGUAAACCGCUUUCGCCUGUGACGAAGCGUGAGUGACGGUAAUGGGUAAAGAAGCACCGGCUAACUACGUG